rnacentral:rRNA from 1 species
GUGGGGAAUUUUGGACAAUGGGCGAAAGCCUGAUCCAGCAAUGCCGCGUGUGUGAAGAAGGCCUUCGGGUUGUAAAGCACUUUUGGCAGGGAAGAAACAGUGCGUGCUAAUACCAUGCGCGAAUGACGGUACCUGCAGAAUAAGCACCGGCUAACUACGUGCCAGCAGCCGCGGUAAUACGUAGGGUGCAAGCGUUAAUCGGAAUUACUGGGCGUAAAGCGUGCGCAGGCGGCUUUGUAAGACGGAUGUGAAAGCCCCGGGCUCAACCUGGGAAGUGUAUUCGUGACUGCAAGGCUAGAGUGUGUCAGAGGGAGGUGGAAUUCCGCGUGUAGCAGUGAAAUGCGUAGAGAUGCGGAGGAACACCGAUGGCGAAGGCAGCCUCCUGGGAUAACACUGACGCUCAGGCACGAAAGCGUGGGGAGCAAACAGGAUUAGAAACCCUUGUAGUCC